ensembl:snRNA U6 U6 spliceosomal RNA
GUGCUCGCUUCGGCAGCACAUACACUAAAACUGGAACGAUACAGAGAAGAUUAGCAUGGCUCCUGCGCAAGGAUGACAUGCAAAUUCAGAUAAGAUGAUGAUAACCGA